rnacentral:rRNA from 1 species
UACAGAGGGUGCGAGCGUUAAUCGGAAUUACUGGGCGUAAAGCGCACGUAGGCGGCUUUGUAAGUUAGAGGUGAAAGCCCGGGGCUCAACUCCGGAAUAGCCUUUAAGACUGCAUCGCUCGAAUCCGGGAGAGGUGAGUGGAAUUCCGAGUGUAGAGGUGAAAUUCGUAGAUAUUCGGAAGAACACCAGUGGCGAAGGCGGCUCACUGGACCGGUAUUGACGCUGAGGUGCGAAAGCGUGGGGAGCAAACAGG